rnacentral:lncRNA from 1 species
AGAUGUUUCGUUUUCAACAGAGGAGGAAUGAGUACACUAUUAUAGCUGUUGUAAUAAUUGUGGCUCCAGUAAAGAUUCAUGCAAUAACAGUAUCUAUCACACUGCUUCUACCAGAUCAUAUUGUAAUUAGUGUGGAAAAUAUGGAACUGGAAACGGAAAAAGAAUGGCUUUUAAGUGCGGAGGCUGCAGAGGCCAAAAAAGAGUUUAUGACGAAUGCGCCACGUCAAUAGCAAAUCAUAAGGGUUUAUGUUGGGUAUUUACAAAUUGUUUCGAAGACACA